CCACAUUCAUGAUGAAACUACUGAAAUGCCAAAAUUAUCACUCCCUCUGUCUCACUCGAUGGAUUGAGUAACCUCAGCCUUUAUUAACAUCUGUAAUAAAAUGACUACAUCAAAUGUAACAGAUUAUGUUUCCAGCACACUCCAAAGAUAGUCACAACAUAUCCUUUGCUUGGAUAGGACUAAAAGGAUGGUGUUGAACUAUA
rnacentral:lncRNA from 1 species